rnacentral:rRNA from 1 species
AUGGCCUCAUCCGCCGCCACCUCCUCCCCUCUCUCCGGCCAGAUCACCGAGCGCCUUACCCGCACCAACUAUGUUCUUUGGCGCAUUCAGAUCACGCCGCAGCUGAGAGGAGCUGGAGUCUUCGGGUACGUCGACGGAAGCAUGGCAGAGCCGGCCGAGUUCGUCGUCGGCAAGGACAAGGAUGGAAAGGAGGCAACCAUCCCCAACCCACUCCAUGCCGUCUGGUUCCGAGAGGAUCAGCAGGUACUCGGUUAUCUCUUGAAUAACCUAUCCAAAGAGGUGCUAGUGCAGGUCACUUCCAUCGCGCACGCACGCGAACUCUGGACGGCGCUGGCGAGCAUGUUCUCGUCCACGUCGCUGUCCCGUGUCAACAACAUCCGCGCCGCCCUCACCAAUGCGCAGAAAGGAACGCAAUCGGUGGCCACCUUCUUCGCGUACAUGCGGGGACUCGCCGACGAGCUCGCCGCGGCUGGCAAGCCGUUGAAGGACGAUGAGUUAAUCUCUUAUAUCCUCAACGCGCUUGACAUGGAGUACCAGCCCUUGGUGUCCGCCCUCGACGCCCGCACCACCCCGGUCACUCUCGACGAGCUGUUCGGGCAGAUGAGCAACUUCGACCAGCGGGUGGCUCUGUUCCAGGGAGCAGGCGCGGCGGGCGGCUUCAAGUCGUCAGCGAACGCUGCCACGCGCGGCCUGGGCGGAGGCUCCCGCUACCGCGGCCCACCUCGGAGUGGCAAGGGCCGGGGCUCCGGCGAUGGAACUAGCAGCGGCGCCAACAACACAUGCGGCGGCCGGCCUUUCUCCUCCAACAAUCGAGGCCGGCGCGGCAACUCCUCCAACAACAGAUCACGCCCUGAUGCAAUCAGGUGCCAAAUCUGUGGCAAGCCGGGACACUCGGCAAAAGAUUGUUGGUACCGUUUUGAAGAAGACGAAGAUGAUUCCUCACAAGAUGAGAAGGUGGCUGGAGCUGCUGAUGGCUCCUACGGCGUCGACACCAACUGGUAUGUCGACAGCGGUGCCACAAACCACAUCACCGGUGAGCUGGAGAAGGUGACCAUGCGCGACAAGUACCGUGGCAAAGAUCACAUCCACACAGCAAGUGGAGAAGGUAUGAAAAUUAGUCAUGUUGGUCACUCAAUUAUUAAAACCCCUCAUCGAAAAAUUCAUCUUAGGAAAAUUUUGCAUGUCCCUAGUGCUUCAAAAAGCCUUCUUUCUGUUCAUCGCAUUGCCAUUGACAACCAUGUCUUUCUUGAGUUUCACCCUUACUUCUUUCUGAUCAAGGAUCAGGCAACGAAGAAGGUGCUAUAUCGAGGUAGAUGCGUUCGUGGGCUUUACCCCUUGAUUCCGGAAAUUAGAAGGUUCAAUAAACAAGUUUUUAGUGUCACCAAAGUGUCUUCAACACGAUGGCACGAUCGUUUUGGACAUGCAUCUUUUUCCUUAGUUGAGAGAUUACUUAAGAAAAAUAAGCUCCCAUAUGUUGGAGAGCGUGAUGUUGAGAAAAUUUGUGAUUCUUGUCAAAAGGCUAAAAGCCAUCAGCUACCUUAUCCAAUUUCUACCAGUGUUUCUACCAAGCCUCUACAACUUGUUUUCUCUGAUGUGUGGGGGCCUGCCCCCUCCUCUGUUGGUAGACACACAUAUUAUGUGAGUUUCAUAGAUGACUAUAGCAAGUUUUCAUGGAUUUACCUUCUUAAAAAAAGGUCCGAUGGGUUUCAAGUGUUUCUGAAUUUUCAAGCUCUUGUUGAGCGCCAAUUUGAUUGCAAAAUCCUGGCUCUCCAAUCUGAUUGGGGAGGGGAGUACGAGAAGUUAAACUCGUCCUUUCAGGAAAUUGGCAUCUCUCAUCACGUAUCAUGCCCUCACGCCCAUCAACAGAAUGGGUCUGCUGAACGCAAACACAGACACAUCGUUGAAGUCGGUCUUGCCUUACUAGCCGGCGCCUCCAUGCCCCUAAAGUUUUGGGACGAGGCUUUUCUUGCUGCGGUACAUAUCAUAAAUAUGUUACCUAGCCGUGUCAUCAACUAUGAAACUCCUAUUGAGCGUCUCCUCCACAUAAAACCCGACUACACAACUCUUCGUGUGUUUGGUUGCGCUUGCUGGCCAAAUCUCCGCCCAUAUAACACUCGCAAGCUCAUGUUUCGCUCCAAGCAAUGUGCUUUCCUUGGCUAUAGUGCUCAACACAAGGGCGUUAAGUGCCUUGAUAUCUCCACUGGUCGAGUUUAUAUCUCUCGCGAUGUCAUUUUUGAUGAGACAAAAUUUCCUUUCUCUGAACUCCACCCAAAUGCCGGGGCACUACUUCGCAAAGAAAUUCUCCUUCUACCCUCUAGUCUUACCGGCAUCUCUGAUGGGGAUAAUGAUUGUGGUGAUCCAAUAUUGACUAAUGUUCAUAACCAAGUGCAUGAGCUCUAUGAUGAUGCAACUGAGAACAACGCAGAAAACGGUGCAGAACACGCUCAAAAUGGCGAAGAAAAUCUGCCUACAACGCCAUAUUUCAUGUGUCCAGGGCUGGGGGACAAAUCCUCCUCGGGAUCAGUUCCACCGCAGCCUGACAGCGGAUCCUCCUCGGAAUCAGGGUCGCCCGGGAGCAGCGCCGCGCGGAAACCCGCGUCGCCCGCCAGCCAGCCGAGCAGCGGCUCCGCGCCUGCCACUCGGCGUCUCGCCAUGGGCCAGGGCGAUUCGGCCCGCCUUCACCACUCGGAUGCCCCCACACGGCAGCCCGAGACUCGCUGGGCCCGUGAUGGGCCCCGCCACUACGUACGCCGCCAGCCGACAGGCGGGGAUCGCCAGGAGCGCCAGGAGCCAGGUGGAGGCGCUGAUCCCACCGCAGAUUCGGCCCUGUCAGCUCCUGCCGGCGCGCGAUCCGGCACGGGCCCGCCUGGAUUUGCCUCAUCAUUGUGCCAUGAUGGGUCUGCGCUGGAUGUCUCCCACGGCACAGGAUUUUCUGCGCCUGGUUCCGUCGCGUCUACACCGUCUCCCAACCGCGUUGGCGCAGAGGAUCCUGCUGGCAGCGAGGCGGGGAUUCUAACGGGAUCUUCUGACGCCGCCGUCCCAGGAUUUUCUGCAUCACCACCUGCUGCUGUUCCACGGACACGUCUCCAAAAAGGGGUAAUAAAGCCAGUUAAUUACAAACAAUUGACAAAGUUCAGUUUAAUGUGCUCCACAGAUGAACCAAGUACUCUUGGCGAGGCACUCAGCGACAAAAAUUGGAAGGCAGCCAUGGAGGAAGAACACAUGGCUCUUCUCCAAAACAAAACGUGGCAUCUGGUUCCGCCACGGCAUGGUAAAAAUUUGAUUGAUUGCAAGUGGGUAUUUAGAAUUAAAAAGAAGGCUGAUGGAACCAUUGAUCGCUACAAAGCCAGACUAGUUGCAAAGGGUUUUAAACAACGGUAUGGUAUAGACUAUGAGGACACCUUUAGUCCAGUUGUUAAAGCUGCAACUAUUCGUCUUGUGCUCUCUAUUGCUGUUUCCAGGGGAUGGAGCCUUCGCCAGCUAGACGUCAAGAAUGCGUUUCUUCAUGGUGUUCUGAAAGAGGAAGUAUAUAUGAAACAACCUCCUGGUUUUGAAAACAAGAAUAAGCCGUUCCAUGUGUGCAAGCUUGAUAAAGCAUUAUAUGGACUCAAACAAGCUCCUAGGGCAUGGUAUUCUAGAUUAAGCCACAAAUUGCAAACUCUUGGCUUUGUUCCUUCUAAGUCUGACACAUCGUUGUUUAUUUACAACAAGUUGAAAACAACAAUAUUCGUUCUUAUAUAUGUUGAUGAUAUUAUUGUCACAAGCUCAUCUAAUGAGGCUAUAUCAGGAAUGUUGAAGGAUUUAAAUGCUGAGUUUGCUCUCAAGGAUCUGGGUGACUUGCACUUCUUCCUAGGGAUUGAAGUCAAGAAACAAGGAAAUAGUCUUCACCUUUCUCAGGAAAAGUAUGCCACUGAUCUGGUAAGAAGAGUUGGGUUACAAGGAUGUAAAUCCUCACCAACUCCACUGUCCAGCAUAGAAAAAUUGUCACUUACAGAAGGAAAGCCCUUGGGUCAAGAUGACAGUACCAGGUACAGGAGCUUGGUAGGUGCACUUCAGUAUCUGACUUUGGCAAGACCUGAUCUUUCAUUUGCAGUAAAUAAGGUUUGUCAGUUUCUUCAUGCACCCACUAUAACUCAUUGGACAGCUGCUAAACGUAUAGUGAGAUAUGUGAAGGACACAGUUAAUCUAGGCCUCACUUUCAACAAGUCUUCAUCUACACUUGUUAGUGCAUUCUCUGAUUCUGACUGGGCAGGGUGUUUAGAUGAUAGACGAUCUACUGGUGGUUUUGCAGUAUUCUUUGGUCCAAACUUAAUAUCAUGGUGUGCAAAGAAACAAGCCACUGUAUCAAGAUCCAGUACUGAAGCUGAGUACAAGGCCUUGGCCAAUGCCACAGCUGAAAUUAUUUGGGUCCAGUCCAUGCUACGAGAGCUUGGUGUGAAGACUACCCAAGCUCCAUGUUUAUGGUGUGAUAAUCUUGGUGCUACUUACCUGUCUGCUAACCCUGUGUUUCAUGCAAGGACAAAACAUAUUGAGAUUGAUUUCCACUUUGUUAGAGAACGAGUUGCAAACAAGCAGUUGAAAAUUCGGUUCAUUCAUUCUCGUGAUCAGGUUGCAGAUGGAUUCACCAAAGCUUUGCCCACACAAAAUUUUGAAGAGUUCAAGCGUAAUCUCAACUUGACCAAGUUGUGA